GGGGACGUAGCUCAAUGGUAGAGCAUCGCAAUCGCAAUACGAAGGUCAGGGGUUCAACUCCCCUCGUCUCCACAA
rnacentral:tRNA from 1 species